rnacentral:sRNA from 1 species
UUUUAUGGUCAAAAUGUGUCACAAUCCAAUGCAUUUGACUAAUUAUAAGAGUUAAAGAUGGAUUAGAAGUGUUUACACAACACUUAUACCCAUUCUCUCCCAAAAGAGGCUAAAACCAACAAAAAUUGUUUUGAAACAAUAGACAGUUUUGUUAGUGUUUUUAUGGUAAAAAUGUGUCACAAUCCAAUGCAUUUGACUAAUUAUAAGAGUUAGAGAUGGAUUAGGAGUGUUUAGACAACACUUAUACCCAUUUUCUCUUAAAACAGGCUAAAACCAACAAAAAAUUGCUUG